CAGUAGCCACGGUAAUACAGAGGGUGCGAGCGUUAAUCGGAUUUACUGGGCGUAAAGCGUGCGUAGGCGGCUAAUUGAGUCGGAUGUGAAAUCCCCGAGCUUAACUUAGGAAUUGCAUUCGAUACUGGGAAGCUAGAGUAUGGGAGAGGAUGGUAGAAUUCCAGGUGUAGCGGUGAAAUGCGUAGAGAUCUGGAGGAAUACCGAUGGCGAAGGCAGCCAUCUGGCCUAAUACUGACGCUGAGGUACGAAAGCAUGGGGAGCAAACAGGAUUAGAUACCCCAGUAGUCCCUGUCUCUUAUAC
rnacentral:rRNA from 1 species